rnacentral:hammerhead_ribozyme from 1 species
GCACUGCUGAGGAGUCACACAAUAGGACGAAACAGUUGUCCAGUGC